rnacentral:misc_RNA from 1 species
GCUGCGAUCGAAGUUGGUGAGUAUGUCUGACAUUGUCUCGUCCCCGAAUAAGAGAUAUCCAAAGAAGCCUACGGCUGCGUAGAUGAUGGAGCAGAGCAGUAGAGAGAUGCGCACAGCUCUGGUCAUGUCGGAAGUGCUGCUUAGCUCAGCUCUGAUGGGGUGAACAUUGAAGUGGAAGGUGAAUGCGACAACGAUGACAGGGACGGCGGUGAAGAGCUCGAAAGGGGAGGAGAG